CACGUAGGGCGCAAGCGUUGUCCGGAAUUAUUGGGCGUAAAGAGCUCGUAGGCGGUCUGUUACGUCUGCUGUGAAAACCCAGGGCUUAACCCUGGGCUUGCAGUGGAUACGGGCAGACUAGAGGCAGGUAGGGGAGAAUGGAAUUCCUGGUGUAGCGGUGGAAUGCGCAGAUAUCAGGAGGAACACCAAUGGCGAAGGCAGAUCUCUGGGCCGUAACUGACGCUGAGGAGCGAAAGCAUGGGGAGCGAACAGG
rnacentral:rRNA from 1 species